AGUGAACGCUGGCGGUAGGCCUAACACAUGCAAGUCGAACGGCAGCACAGGAGAGCUUGCUCUCUGGGUGGCGAGUGGCGGACGGGUGAGGAAUACAUCGGAAUCUACUCUGUCGUGGGGGAUAACGUAGGGAAACUUACGCUAAUACCGCAUACGACCUACGGGUGAAAGCAGGGGAUCUUCGGGCCUUGCGCGAUUGAAUGAGCCGAUGUCGGAUUAGCUAGUUGGCGGGGUAAAGGCCCACCAAGGCGGAGAUACGUAGCUGGUCGGAGAGGAUGAUCCGCCACACUGGACCUGGAACACGGCCCAGACUCCGACGGGAGGCAGCAGUGGGGAAUAUUGGACAAUGGGCGCAAGCCUGAGCCAGCCCUACCGCGUGGGUGAAGAAGGCCUUCGGGGUGUAAAGCCCUUUUGUUGGGAAAGAAAUCCAGCCGGCUAAUACCCGGUUGGGAUGACGGUACCCAAAGAAUAAGCACCGGCUAACUUCGUGCCAGCCGCCGCCGUAA
rnacentral:rRNA from 1 species